GACGAACGCUGGCGGCGUGCUUAACACAUGCAAGUCGAGCGGUAAGGCCCUUUCGGGGGUACACGAGCGGCGAACGGGUGAGUAACACGUGGGUGACCUGCCCUCAGCUCUGGGAUAAGCCUGGGAAACUGGGUCUAAUACCGGAUAUGACUCCAUGACGCAUGUUGUGGGGUGGAAAGCCUUGUGCGGCUGGGGAUGGGCCCGCGGCCUAUCAGCUUGUUGGUGGGGUGAUGGCCACCAAGGCGACGACGGGUAGCCGGCCUGAGAGGGCGACCGGCCACACUGGGACUGAGACACGGCCCAGACUCCUACGGGAGGCAGCAGUGGGGAAUCUUGCGCAAUGGGCGAAAGCCUGACGCAGCGACGCCGCGUGA
rnacentral:rRNA from 1 species